rnacentral:lncRNA from 1 species
UUGACCCAUAGACUGCACCGUAGGAAAGACCGGUACUUUCUUCAUUUCUAGGGAUGCGUUAUGCUCCCAGCCUGCUGCAAGUUUGUUUGUUUGUUUCUUAGCACUUAACGUCACCCGAAAUUUUAUGUGUGAGGGUUUUGGGAUUAUAUUUCCCUCACCCUGGAAGUGA